rnacentral:rRNA from 1 species
GGGCCCGCACAAGCGGUGGAGCAUGUGGUUCAAUUCGACGCAACGCGAAGAACCUUACCCAGGCUUGAACUGCGAGUGACCACUCCCGAAAGGGAGCUUCCGCAAGGACACUCGUAGAGGUGCUGCAUGGCUGUCGUCAGCUCGUGUCGUGAGAUGUUGGGUUAAGUCCCGCAACGAGCGCAACCCUUGUCUUCUGUUGCCAUCAGGUUAUGCUGGGCACUCUGAAGAGACUGCCGGUGAUAAACCGGAGGAAGGUGGGGAUGACGUCAAGUCAGCAUGGCCUUUAUGUCUGGGGCCACACACGUGCUACAAUGGCAGAUACAAACCGUCGCGAGACCGCAAGGUGGAGCUAAUCGGAUAAAGUCUGUCUCAGUUCGGAUUGCAGGCUGCAACUCGCCUGCAUGAAGUUGGAAUCGCUAGUAAUCGCGGAUCAGCACGCCGCGGUGAAUACGUUCCCGGGCCUU